rnacentral:rRNA from 1 species
UUGGAGGUAGUGACAAUAAAUCACAAUGCGGAACAAUGUUUUGCAAUUGGAUUGAGAACAACGUACAAACCUUAUCGAUAAACAAUUGGAGGGCAAGUCUGGUGCCAGCAGCCGCGGUAAUUCCAGCUCCAAUAGCGUAUAUUAACGUUGUUGCAGUUAAAAAGCUCGUAGUUGAAAUGAAGGGUAGUUGUGUAAUGAAUACAUUCGUGUAUUUUGUUAUUCUACUACCCUCCUUCUAAAUUCGAUAUAUGAGUAUUAAUUUACUUGUAUAUGGUUUUAGACGUUUACUGUGAGAAAAUUAGAGUGUUCAAAGCAGGCAUUUGCUUGAAUAUAUUAGCAUGGAAUAAUCAUGUAUGAUUUUCAUGAUGUAUUUGAUUGGUUUGGUUCAUGAGAAUAAGAUUAAAAGGGACAGUUGGGGGUAUUCAUAUUCAAUAGUCAGAGGUGAAAUUCUCGGAUUUAUGGAAGAUGAAACUAGUGC